rnacentral:rRNA from 1 species
CUGGCGGCAGGCCUAACACAUGCAAGUCGAGCGGUAGAGAGAAGCUUGCUUCUCUUGAGAGCGGCGGACGGGUGAGUAAUGCCUAGGAAUCUGCCUGGUAGUGGGGGAUAACGUUCGGAAACGGACGCUAAUACCGCAUACGUCCUACGGGAGAAAGCAGGGGACCUUCGGGCCUUGCGCUAUCAGAUGAGCCUAGGUCGGAUUAGCUAGUUGGUGAGGUAAUGGCUCACCAAGGCGACGAUCCGUAACUGGUCUGAGAGGAUGAUCAGUCACACUGGAACUGAGACACGGUCCAGACUCCUACGGGAGGCAGCAGUGGGGAAUAUUGGACAAUGGGCGAAAGCCUGAUCCAGCCAUGCCGCGUGUGUGAAGAAGGUCUUCGGAUUGUAAAGCACUUUAAGUUGGGAGGAAGGGUUGUAGAUUAAUACUCUGCAAUUUUGACGUUACCGACAGAAUAAGCACCGGCUAACUCUGUGCCAGCAGCCGCGGUAAUACAGAGGGUGCAAGCGUUAAUCGGAAUUACUGGGCGUAAAGCGCGCGUAGGUGGUUUGUUAAGUUGGAUGUGAAAUCCCCGGGCUCAACCUGGGAACUGCAUUCAAAACUGACUGACUAGAGUAUGGUAGAGGGUGGUGGAAUUUCCUGUGUAGCGGUGAAAUGCGUAGAUAUAGGAAGGAACACCAGUGGCGAAGGCGACCACCUGGACUAAUACUGACACUGAGGUGCGAAAGCG